rnacentral:snRNA from 1 species
AUACUUACCUGGCAAGGGAGACAACCGUGAUCACCAAGGCGGUCACCCAGGGCGAGGCUUCGGCCAUUGCAAUCCGGCUGUGCUGACCCCCCUGCGAAUUUACCAAAUGUGGAAAUCUCGAUUGCAUAAUUUCUGGUAGUGGGGACUGCGUGUCGCGCUCUCCAC